rnacentral:rRNA from 1 species
CUCGUAGGCGGUUCGUCGCGUCCGGUGUGAAAGUCCGUCGCUUAACGGUGGAUCCGCGCCGGGUACGGGCGGGCUUGAGUGCGGUAGGGGAGACUGGAAUUCCCGGUGUAACGGUGGAAUGUGUAGAUAUCGGGAAGAACACCAAUGGCGAAGGCAGGUCUCUGGGCCGUUACUGACGCUGAGGAGCGAAAGCGUGGGGAGCGAACA